CGUGAGAGUUGGGUUAAGUCCCGCAACGAGCGCAACCCCUAUUGUUAGUUGCUACGCAAGAGCACUCUAGCGAGACUGCGUUGACAAAACGGAGGAAGGUGGGGACGACGUCAAAUCAUCAUGCCCCUUAUAUCCUGGGCUACACACGUAAUACAAUGGCGGUCAACAGAGGGAAGCAAAGCCGCGAGGCAGAGCAAACCCCCAAAAGCCGUCCCAGUUCGGAUUGUAGGCUGCAACUCGCCUGCA
rnacentral:rRNA from 1 species